rnacentral:rRNA from 1 species
GACGUAGGGCGCGAGCGUUGUCCGGAUUUAUUGGGCGUAAAGAGCUCGUAGGCGGCUUGUCGCGUCGACUGUGAAAUCCCGCGGCUCAACUGCGGGUCUGCAGUCGAUACGGGCAGGCUAGAGUUCGGUAGGGGAGACUGGAAUUCCUGGUGUAGCGGUGAAAUGCACAGAUAUCAGGAGGAACACCGGUGGCGAAGGCGGAUCUCUGGGCCUGUCCUGACGCUGAGGCGCGAAAGCUAGGGGAGCGAACAGG